GGAGAGGUGUCCGAGUCGGCCGAAGGAGCUCGCCUGCUAAGCGGGUAUACGGUGUUGAGCUGUAUCGAGGGUUCAAAUCCCUCCCUCUCCGCCA
rnacentral:tRNA from 2 species